UCUCUAGGAUCACCUCUCCAGCUCUUGGCUACCCUUCUGCAAGAAGAUGACCAUCUUCUCAUAUUGAAACUAAGAUAAUGAUGAAAAAAAAAAUUACGACUUGCACACAUCAUUACACAGGUGGAGUGCCUACUUGCAUGAAAAGCGUGGCAAUAGAAGCACAGCUCUGCUCUACAUUGCAUGGAUUGUUGGAUCGCAAGAUUUAAAAAAAGGACAAAUAGUUGUGUGACAAAAAUCCAAACGUUUGAGCCCAAUGCAGCAACCUGAAACAACCACUGCGUUUCCAGAAGAGUGUCUUUCAAUAUAAAGCCUACUCCUGAGUAACUGGCACACGCUCAGCGAGCACAACACGAAGACAACUGGCAGCGUGAGUCAUUUUGCAUGUGAUUGUUGAAUGUGACAGAUUGAGAAUAGCAAGGAGUACGAGUUCAUGCUAUGAGAAAGAAGUAAAGCAGCAUCCACUCGCUAGCUUAAACUACAAGUAGGUGUGGGGUGCUUUGGAAGCAAAAUACCAUCAGAGUUUUGGAAAAAAAUGAUUUCAGAACACUAUUUUCUUCUGUUGCUCAUUUUUAUUUCAGCACAGAUUGUCUCUUUCUUUUCAUAAUUGCAAACAGAGAGCAAGAGCGUGUUUGUAAAUCCUGUAUUGCUAAUAGCUUGUUCCCCUUUUUACUUUUCAUCUGAGUAGCCUUUUCCUUUCUUCAUGUUGAUGCUGGGUUGGCCUUUUUAUUCCUUGGUUGGCCUUUAUUCCGGACUGCUCCAGCACACUGCCCGGGCAGAAACAGUUUCAAAUAAACGUGGGGCAAAUGCAGUUUUAGAAAUGAUUACUUUCAGAGCAAAAUCUAACAGGCUUGGGAAGAGCAGGGAAGCUAUCGAUGAAAUCUGUGCUUCAACCAAACCCUAUGUUUGGUCAAAAUAUUAAAUCUGAGUAAUUUAUGAAUUAAAUUUAGCCACACUGUAUUUUCGGACAUCUUAUAUAUCUCCCAAUUUAUUGUUAAUUAAUGUUAAAUGUGGUGUUUGCUUGUAUAUCUGAGCACCUGGGUUGUAACAUGUCCUGCACUCAGUGUAAGUUUGCUGCUCAGCUGCAUAAUGCUGUUAUAUAAUAGCUUUUUUUUAAAAAAGUGUGCUUGAAUGAGUAGUUC
rnacentral:lncRNA from 7 species